rnacentral:rRNA from 1 species
UACGGCGGGUGCAAGCGUUGUUCGGAAUCAUUGGGCGUAAAGCGCGUGUAGGCGGCUUGGUAAGUCGGGUGUGAAAGCCCGGGGCUUAACCCCGGAACUGCAUUCGAAACUGCCCCGCUAGAGUCCCGGAGGGGAAGGCGGAAUUCCCGGUGUAGAGGUGAAAUUCGUAGAUAUCGGGAGGAACACCCGUAGCGAAGGCGGCCUUCUGGACGGUGACUGACGCUGAGACGCGAAAUCUUGGGGAGCAAACAGG